CUCGUUCUGGUGUUAUUUUUGGAGAUGACUUCGGUUUCCGUAGUUGGCUUUCUCUGGGAUCAGAGUCAUGGUCUGCAGCAGCGCCUGCCAAGCCAAACUUUUCCCUGGGUGAGAAGCACGAGCUAACCCACGUGCAGACCUGAGCCCGGGGUCGCGCUGCAACUGCAUCUGUGAAACCUCUUUCUCAAAUAUUACUCUUUGCCUCCGUGGAAAAACAGCAUCGUUAGCAAAGAUGACAAGUAGGCAAAGGUUUCCCCGCACGCCACCAGAGGGGCAGUGCUUAGAACUGGAAAUGGCUGUGUAACCUACUUUCCUUUGGUUUUAAAAUAACAGCGCAUAGAUUUGCAUUUGUUUUUCAUUCUUGGCCCUGCGACCCCUGCUCCCGUUUCCCUUGAUAAAUUCCAUCUCGCCUUCCACACGCGGCCCUUCAGGGCUGAACACUUCCUAACGUCUUUCGUCAACCUGCUUUUAGCUCUGAGUUGAAAUACAACAAAAAAAUAAAUCUUACUGACCACCUGUGUGUAUGGUUGCACAGAUCCUAUGAGAACCAAUACAGAGGAGAUCCCCGAGAAGAACAUCUGUCGAGAUGUGGACGAUGCAGCAAAAGUGUGGACAAUGGAAGCUGACAAUCCGUCUUCAGAAAUCUUUUUCACCGCUGACCCCUCAAACUCUCCCUGUCCGGGCAGACGGAUGCAGAGCUUGGAAUUGGAAUUGUGGCCUCUGGAGCUUAAGUGGCCAAGAUCGGCGACAUCCUCUAUAGCUCCGUGGCACAAAAGAGCCAUUUAGAGGGCAGGGGGAGUGAAGGGUUGUUGGGGGGCCGUGAAGUGGGACAGGGUGGGGAAUGUGGCUAAGGGAAGGCAGCAGGUGCGACAUGUGGUGGGUUCUUGACAUUUCCCCUGACCUGCAAAUGCUACUGCUCACUAUUACACACACACACACACCCCUACACACACCCCUACAUAGCCAGCCUGGACACCCGUGGGUCUGGAAUAUACUAAAAAUGUUAUGAAGUGGACAUAUGCCCUUGACGCCCAAAUAAAUGCCCUAGCAAGGCCAGUUAAGCUCUAGGAGCUGCAAAAUCCUAGCGGAAAUGAGGGGAACAGAAACGCCAAGUCCAAAGAGUGCACUGUCCAGUUGGUUUCAGACCUACUAAGACCAGCACCGGCCAUAUGGGAUCUUGUUUUGCAAAAAAAUCUGGACACCAAUCAAGGGUUUUGUUUCUUUGGGUUUAAAAACUUUUCAUCACUUUUUCCUUCUAGCAUGAAAAUACAAUACUAACUACUUUACCAGGAAUAGCAAAAGUGCUCGAAAAAUAAUUCCACCCCCUGCCAGGGCCUGCAAUUGAAAUCAGUGUCGGCUCCAAUUUGUUCCCAACUCUCGAAACACUUUUUUCCUCAUUGUGCAUUUUCUUCUAUGUGAAUACUGGAUAUGACAUCGUCACAC
rnacentral:lncRNA from 1 species